rnacentral:rRNA from 1 species
UGGGGAAUCUUCCGCAAUGGGCGAAAGCCUGACGGAGCAAUGCCGCGUGAGUGAAGAAGGCCUUCGGGUUGUAAAACUCUGUCCUUAUCGAAGAGAGGGUGGUAUGUAAAUAAUGUGCCAUUAGGACGGUAGAUAAGGAGGAAGCCCCGGCUAACUACGUGCCAGCAGCCGCGGUAAUACGUAGGGGGCGAGCGUUGUCCGGAAUCACUGGGCGUAAAGGGCGCGUAGGCGGUCUGAUAAGUCAGUGGUGAAAACUGAGGGCUCAACCCUCAGCCUGCCACUGAUACUGUCAGACUUGAGUAUGGAAGAGGAGAAUGGAAUUCCUAGUGUAGCGGUGAAAUGCGUAGAUAUUAGGAGGAACACCAGUGGCGAAGGCGAUUCUCUGGGCCAAAACUGACGCUGAGGCGCGAAAGCGUGGGGAGCAAACAGG